rnacentral:rRNA from 1 species
AUUGAACGCUGGCGGCAGGCCUAACACAUGCAAGUCGAACGAGCGGCGGACGGGUGAGUAAUGUCUGGGGAACUGCCCGAUAGAGGGGGAUAACUACUGGAAACGGUAGCUAAUACCGCAUACCAUCGGAUGUACCCAGAUGGGAUUAGCUAGUAGGUGGGGUAAAGGCUCACCUAGGCGACGAUCCCUAGCUGGUCUGAGAGGAUGACCAGCCACACUGGGACUGAGACACGGCCCAGACUCCUACGGGAGGCAGCAGUGGGGAAUAUUGCACAAUGGGCGCAAGCCUGAUGCAGCCAUGCCGCGUGUAUGAAGAAGGCCUUCGGGUUGUAAAGUACUUUCAGCGGGGAGGCGUUACGCGCAGAAGAAGCACCGGCUAACUCCGUGCCAGCAGCCGCGGUAAUAC